CUGCAUCUACUUUAACAUUAGGCUGCAAAGAACUCAGAAACAUGUCAUGAUCACCAUUAAUCUGAUUGUCCUUGAUUUCUGGAACAGUGGCAACCAGAUCGUCAUUUGGGGGCUUAACGUCACUUCCAGCAGAACCUUCCGUAGAAUCAUCCAGAUUACCAUUUGGCAUGUUAUCUCCCUCUUGUUCUGCAGGGAUUCUCCCAUCAUCACUUUGUUCAGGCACUGAUGUAGCUGCAUUAUCAACUUUGGGAGAACACUCAAAUGCUUCUAGACCUUCAUGGCUAACUUUCCCUUCAUCCAGUCCAGUUCCACUUGGAAAAUUAUGUCUAGAAAUGGCAGCAGAUAAAACUUCUGAGGAGCACUCAAUCACUGCCACACUGUUCUUGGACUUUUGUACACCAUUUCCCACAGAAAUAUAACAAUCUGAUUCAUUUUCCUGGAUCAUAGAGUCCCUCAGAUUCUUGUUGUCAAUACUCUGGCUAUCACUCUUGAUAGACUUUGGACCUCUGUCUUCAUAAAAUUCCAAAGGUUUUGCAUCACUGGUGGAUGUAAAUGCUGUUCUAGAAACAUGUGAACCUCUCUUCUUUGCAUCCACCUCCUUGUAUGCAGCUCUAUCCUUCUUCUUUCCACUUCGUUCUUUGGAUGUUCCUAGAUCUUCUUUCUUUCUUUUACUUGAAUGUAUUACAACUGGCCGAAGGAAGCUUCUCUCCUUUUUAACCCCAACCUGCAAAUGCCUAACCUCACUGUCCUCAUCCACCAAAUUUUUCCUUCCCUCUGAGUAAUGUUUCCUAUCAAAACUGCCAUCCCCACCUCUCCCUUUCAUGCCAACCAAAGCUGUUGCAGGGGUUGGAAACACGUCUCCUUAGCCAACGAAAACAAGACACCUGCACCUUUAUCAAUAGUACUUUCAUUCUCAUUUCCGCUAUCACCACACUCCUUCACAUCCCAGCAAGGGAACUCCCUGUACUGAAAACUAAACUUUUUAGGCACAUAUCCGGUGCACUUCCACAACUCUGGCGUAAAAACAGCGGAAAACCCAGAAAACAAUGCAGGAUCACCACCUGGAAUACCCUGCACAUGCACUCUCUCCUCCAUAGGUAUAUCAGUCCAAAGCCUCAAGGGCGGGUGUGAGGGAACAUUUGCUGCAUAACUACUCUCUAGCCGGAUAGUUUUAGUCGGCAAUUCAACCAGCAAUUGAGCAACCUCCGUCUCCUCACUGUCAUCCUUAUUGUUCUUGCUCUUGCACUUAUCACAAGUAAAUAAAUCGUCUCCCUUCAUGUACCCGGAGCAGCGAGUAUGUACCCAUACACCGCACUCAUCACAGUUGACCAUCUCUUCCCCAUCGUCGAAAUUCACACCGCAAACGCAAUCCACCGUCCAGGAGCCAUCCACCCAAUCCUCAUGCAGAUCAUGACCCUGGAGACGGUGUGUCCUACCCUUCAUGUCUUUAAAUUCAGCUACGAUUCAGCAUGAAAGUAAAUACCUAAAUCUAAUUGAUCUUGACCUAAUCAAAGCGAAAGCUAAUUUCACAUUCCUCAGGGAUGAAUUAAUGGUGAAGCACGAUAGUUUUCCCUAAUUCCCAACGGAUUUGGAAACUAAAAACAUAUAUGAUAAGCAUAAGAACCUGUUGAUCUUUAAACUUGAGUUUUGAUGAAGCUGUUCCUCCAAGUUCCUUGAGAGCUAGCUCUUUGGCUUUGGCUUUUGGGAAGAGAACAUAAUUCGAUUGCUGAGUAUAUUAAAGAGAGAAUAUGUAUGAGGAGGGAGGGGAAUAGACGGCAGCUAAAGGAGCCUUGGGUUCGAACAACAGCGGAAUCGAAACGGAAUAG
rnacentral:misc_RNA from 1 species